AUGGCGCCGGAGCCGGAGGACGACAUCAUGGCCGAGAAGAACCCGCGCCCUCUCGACGAGGACGACAUCGCCCUCCUCAAGACCUACGGGCUUGGGCCAUACUCCACGAGCAUCAAGACGGCCGAGAAGGAGAUCAAGGAACUGGCCAAGAGGAUCAAUGACCUAUGUGGGAUAAAGGAGUCUGAUACUGGGCUGGCUCCACCUAGCCAGUGGGAUCUGGUGUCAGAUAAGCAAAUGAUGCAAGAGGAGCAGCCAUUACAAGUAGCAAGGUGCACCAAGAUUAUAAACCCUAAUACCGACGAUGCCAAGUACAUGAUUAAUGUAAAACAAAUUGCAAAGUUUGUGGUUGGAUUGGGGGAUAAAGUUUCGCCAACUGAUAUCGAGGAAGGGAUGAGAGUCGGUGUCGAUCGGAACAAGUAUCAGAUACAAAUUCCAUUGCCACCAAAGAUUGAUCCCAGCGUCACCAUGAUGACUGUUGAGGAAAAACCAGAUGUCACGUAUAAUGAUGUUGGCGGGUGCAAGGAGCAGAUUGAAAAAAUGCGUGAGGUAGUUGAGCUCCCCAUGCUUCACCCGGAAAAGUUUGUGAAGCUUGGUAUCGACCCUCCGAAAGGUGUCCUUUGCUACGGUCCUCCUGGCACUGGCAAGACUCUUCUUGCUAGAGCUGUUGCUAAUCGCACGGAUGCUUGUUUCAUCCGUGUAAUUGGUAGUGAAUUAGUUCAGAAGUAUGUUGGUGAGGGCGCUCGGAUGGUUAGGGAGUUAUUUCAGAUGGCUCGGUCGAAGAAAGCAUGCAUCAUAUUCUUCGAUGAAGUUGAUGCAAUUGGUGGUGCUCGUUUUGAUGAUGGAGCUGGGGGCGAUAACGAAGUACAGCGUACUAUGCUUGAAAUCGUCAAUCAGCUUGAUGGUUUUGAUGCUAGGGGGAAUAUCAAGGUUCUCAUGGCCACCAACAGGCCUGAUACACUUGAUCCUGCACUUCUGCGUCCUGGUCGUUUGGACAGAAAGGUGGAAUUUGGGUUACCUGACUUGGAAGGCCGUACCCAGAUAUUCAAAAUACAUACGCGCACCAUGAACUGUGAGCGUGAUAUACGCUUCGAGCUACUGGCGCGACUCUGCCCCAACGCCACUGGCGCCGACAUCAGGAGUGUCUGCACAGAAGCUGGCAUGUACGCCAUCCGCGCCCGCAGGAAGACUGUGACUGAAAAGGAUUUCCUCGACUCGGUCAACAAGGUCAUCAAGGGGUACCAGAAAUUCAGCGCAACCCCAAAAUACAUGGUGUACAAUUGA
rnacentral:rRNA from 1 species